CGGAAUCACUGGGCGUAAAGGGCGUGUAGGUGGCUAAGUAAGUCAGGUGUGAAAGCCUUCCGCUUAACGGGAGAAGUGCACUUGAAACUGCUUAGCUAGAGUACGAGAGAGGAAGGUGGAAUUCCUGGUGUAGAGGUGAAAUUCAUAGAUAUCGGGAAGAACACCGGUGGCGAAGGCGGCCUUCUGGCUCGAUACUGACGCUGAGACGCGAAAGCGUGGGGAGCAAACAGGAUUAGAUACCCUGGUAGUCCACGCCGUAAACGUUGGGCACUAGGUGGGGGAGGUUUUUAUUCCUUCUUUGCCGAAGCUAACGCAUUAAGUGCCCCGCCUGGGGAGUACGGUCGCAAGGCUAAAACUCAAAGGAAUUGGCGGGGGCCCGCACAAGCGGUGGAGCAUGUGGUUUAAUUCGACGCAACGCGAAAAACCUUACCUGGGCUUGACAUGCUGGUAGUAGUGAACCGAAAGGGAAACGAUCCUGAGCAAUCAGGAAGCCAACACAGGUGCUGCAUGGCUGUCGUCAGCUCGUGUCGUGAGAUGUUGGGUUAAGUCCCGUAACGAGCGCAACCCUUACCUUUAUUUGCCAUCAUUGAGUUGGGCACUCUAAAGGAACCGCCCCGGUCAACGGGGAGGAAGGUGGGGAUGACGUCAAGUCCUCAUGGCCUUUAUGCCCAGGGCUACACACGUGCUACAAUGGCCAGUACAAAGGGCUGCGAACCCGCGAGGGUAAGCAAAUCCCAAAAAACUGGCCUCAGUUCGGAUUGGAGUCUGCAACUCGACUCCAUGAAGUUGGAAUCGCUAGUAAUCGCAGAUCAGCGUGCUGCGGUGAAUACGUUCCCGGGCCUUGUACACACCGCCCGU
rnacentral:rRNA from 1 species